rnacentral:piRNA from 1 species
UAGGCUGAUCUUUAGAGCAUC